rnacentral:misc_RNA from 1 species
AGUCGUAACAAGGUAUCCGUAGGUGAACCUGCGGAUGGAUCAUUAAUGGAAUUUAUUUCGUAGUCUUGUGCACUUUUGGAUUACCGUGUGCGUGUGCAAUAAUGGAAUAACGAGUGCGUGCGUGCAAUGGAAUAACGAGUGCGUGCGUGCAAAGGAAUGACCAGUGCGUGCACCGGUAGUCUAUAACAACUACUACACGUAUAUCACUUAUAAACUGACGUCUACUCUUAAAGUAGUAGUAAACAAUGUAAAUACAACUUUUAGCAACGGAUCUCUUGGCUCUC